CGUGUAGGCGGUUUUAUAAGUCUGAUGUGAAAGCCCCGGGCUCAACCUGGGAAGUGCAUUGGAUACUGUAAGACUUGAAUACGGGAGAGGGCAGUGGAAUUCCUGGUGUAGGAGUGAAAUCCGUAGAUAUCAGGAGGAACACCGGUGGCGAAGGCGGCUGCCUGGACCGAUAUUGACGCUGAGACGCGAAAGCGUGGGUAGCAAACA
rnacentral:rRNA from 1 species